rfam:Drosophila quadrilineata achaete-scute complex enhancer region.
AAACACUUGCUAAUUUACUGCUAGACGGCGUUAAUAACAAGCUGCCAUUGCCAUUUAUGGCUUCCGCUCUUCUUGAUUAA